AGUCCGGGCCGGGCCGGCGCGCCGCGGGAGGGGAGGUCGCCGCGCGCGGGCUCGCAGGGUCGUCUGUCCCCUCCGGGCACUCCCCGCGUGCACUGCCGGCCUUGCACCUUCGCGCGCCCGCAGAGCCUUUGCACCCGUCUUAGGUGCUUCAAAUCCGGGCAGAAUGCUCUGAAGAGAUUGACACAUGUUCAUGGUUCUCAUUAAAGAAGCUUCAUGUAAGGAGUUGAUGCGGACUCAGAGAUAUGUGUGCAAACCUCAAGGGGCAGAAUUUCACACAAACCACUUGACAAGUCGGAGUGGACCUCUUCAAGGUGGAUAUCAGUUCAUUUCACUCUGCUGGACGCUUGAGGUAGAACUCAACUGAGGCAGCCUCACAGUGGGUGCUGAAUAUGGACUCUUGUGCUUCAUUUCUCUUACAAAACCGUGACACCAACCAAGCUAGCAGAAACUGGCAAAAUUAAGUCUGAUCUCCUUAGAAGAUAGUCUCCAUAUUUAAAAGAUAAAGUGGAAACACCAAAUUAAAAAAAAAAAAAAAGGAGUCAAUUUAGAUUUAAUAUAUAAUAUUCCUAAAACCGGAGGCAAAAUAUGCUAAAUGUUUUAUUUUCAAUAUAAAAAAUGAAAAUCACAUUUAUUGAUGAAUUAAGUCAUGGAAAAGUUUUGGAAGAGUUUAACUUUUAAUAGCAAGGCAAAUAUGCGUUAUGAUGCAGUCUGUGAUGUAUUUUUGCCUCUUGAGGUUUUUUUUCCUACUUAUGUUAUAGUCAUAAUACCCCUACAGUUGUAUAAUUCUUUGUGAUAAUUGCUGUUACGAAGAGAAACACCCUAAGAGACACCAAGGAGUUUUAUAUCUAUACUUUCCAUUAGUGGAAAUUAAGCAUAAGGAAAAUAUUCACUUAGUUCUGUUUUCUGCAGUAAUAACUCCUAGCAGUCAUGUAAGCAUGUUCCUUUAUUCAGUUUCAUAGUCUUUAUAAUUUUAGUGCAGAAUUCUGUUAAGGCUCCCAGAUGUCAGAUGCUUGUUCACUCAUUAGGUUGCAAAACUUACUUGACUAAAUUACUAAUAUACAUGUUAUUAUAUACUCCACGAAUGUUACAUGUCUCUGAUAAUUAGUUGUUCUAUGUCAACAUAAGACUUUGCAUUAGAAUUCUAGGAUGUAUGUUUUUAUUAAAAAUCAUAGACAGUCAAGUUAUAUCACUGCUGGGAGCUUAGUGAUCCUGGGAGCCACCAUACUGUGGUUGCCCAUGCCCUGAGCUUGGGGGCUUUGUCCAUGAAAUGAAGCAUAUAUGUGAGCACAGACUUGGAAUAUGGAAGAAAUCAAGUUUCCCCUAAAAACAAAACAAAGCAAAUAAACUACAGCUUCUUCAGAGCAAGAAUUUUAAUUUAAUUUUAAAAAUAAAUGGCCCACAGCAUAAACACUGAACUUCGUCAGCCUACAGAGCCCACUGCAUCACUAUGCCCUGUUUUCCCAUGGCAACUGGAUCAUUCUUGUUCAAAACAUUUUCUAAUCUUAAGUAGUGGAGCUUCAGUAAACCCUGUGGAUUGACUGUGCAGGUGAUACUCUCUAGUAACUCAAACAGAAUAAAGAAUUCAACAUUUUUACAAGGUAUAUCUUUGUCAGGCUAACAUGCUAAGAGAGAUGAGGACUGGUAAUGAGGAUCCAAAGGUUUCUUUUUCUUAAUCCAGAAGCUUCACUUAAAUCAGACCACUUAUAUCAAAAAUGUCCCCAGACACUGUAAGACCUGCACAGAGUUGCUGCCCUAAAACGUGUAGUUAGUGAAAAAUUUGCCUUUGCUGCCAUUUAAAGUAUGGCAGUGCGUUGCAGUGUUAUGUAGUAUAAAUGCUGGACUAGAAGAACUCCACUAUUUUAGAUCAUUAUCAGCAGUGUCUCAAUAUGUGUGUGUGUGUGUGUAUGUAUGUGUAUGUACUAAUGUAUAUAUAUUUUUCACACACUCCCAAUUAAAAGUUGUGUGAAAGCUACAGAAUUACAGAGGCAUCUGUGUUAUCACUUUUGCUUUUUGAUUAAUAAUUUUGCGCUAUUUUGGUUAUUAAGGAAGAAAGGAUAUGGAUACAGUGAUUUAAAAAAUAAUAAUAAAGGAACAAGUUUGCCA
rnacentral:lncRNA from 1 species